AGAAUCAACGCUGGCGGCGUGCCUAACACAUGCAAGUCGAACGAGAAAGGGUAGCAAUACCUGAGUAAAGUGGCGCACGGGUGAGUAACACGUGACUAACCUACCCUGGAGUGGGGAAUAACUGAGGGAAACCUUAGCUAAUACCGCAUAAUACCUACGGGUCAAAGGAGCAAUUCGCUUCAGGAGGGGGUCGCGGCCGAUUAGCUAGUUGGCGGGGUAAUGGCCCACCAAGGCAGUGAUCGGUAUCCGGCCUGAGAGGGCGCACGGACACACUGGAACUGAAACACGGUCCAGACUCCUACGGGAGGCAGCAGUGGGGAAUUUUGCGCAAUGGGGGAAACCCUGACGCAGCAACGCCGCGUGGAGGAUGAAAUCCCUUGGGAUGUAAACUCCUUUCGAUCGGGACGAUUAUGACGGUACCGGAAGAAGAAGCCCCGGCUAACUUCGCGCCAGCAGCCGC
rnacentral:rRNA from 1 species